AGGUGCUUAGCUCAUCUGGGAGAGCAUCGCCCUUACAAGGCAAGGGUCGUAGGUUCGAUCACUACAGCACCCUCCA
rnacentral:tRNA from 1 species